rnacentral:rRNA from 1 species
UCGGAUGUGCCCAGAUGGGAUUAGCUAGUAGUGGGGUAACGGCUCACCUAGGCGACGAUCCCUAGCUGGUCUGAGAGGAUGACCAGCCACACUGGAACUGAGACACGGUCCAGACUCCUACGGGAGGCAGCAGUGGGGAAUAUUGCACAAUGGGCGCAAGCCUGAUGCAGCCAUGCCGCGUGUAUGAAGAAGGCCUUCGGGUUGUAAAGUACUUUCAGCGGGGAGGAAGGGAGUAAAGUUAAUACCUUUGCUCAUUGACGUUACCCGCAGAAGAAGCACCGGCUAACUCCGUG